AUGUUGAAACUCACAGAAAACAUACCAACAAACUUACAUUCAUCAUUGAAGCUUAACUGCACCAACUUCAUUCUAGACUUAACCCUCUCGGAAAUUUCUUCCUCAGCUUCCUUCCCUAGAGACGGUUUACCAAUAACGCUGAGAGAUCUUACUUUACGCGAUUGUGAGAAUCUUGAGUUCCUUCCUCAUGAAUCCUUAUGCAAUUACAAAUCAUUUGAGGAAUUGGACAGAAUAGUUGUCAUUCGUUGA